CCUACGGGAGGCAGCAGUGGGGAAUAUUGGGCAAUGGGCGCAAGCCUGACCCAGCAACGCCGCGUGAAGGAAGAAGGCUUUCGGGUUGUAAACUUCUUUUGUCAGGGACGAAGCAAGUGACGGUACCUGACGAAUAAGCCACGGCUAACUACGUGCAUGCAGCCGCGGUAAUACGUAGGUGGCAAUCGUUAUCCGGAUUUACUGGGUGUAAAGGGCGAGUAGGCGGGACUGCAAGUCAGAUGUGAAAACCACGGGCUCAACCUGUGGCCUGCAUGUGAAACUGUCGUUCUUGAGUACUGGAGAGGCAGACGGAAUUCGUGGUGUAGCGGUGAAAUGCGUAGAUAUUACGAAGAACACCAGUGGCGAAGGCAGUCUGCUGGACAGCAACUGACGCUGAGGCGCGAAAGCGUGGGGAGCAAACAGGAUUAGAUACCCCUGUAGUC
rnacentral:rRNA from 1 species